AGAUUCAAUAGAACUAGUCAUUUCAAGUAUAUACGGGUCCUGUAUGGACAUUAAGCCCUGCCACUCCCGGGAUGCCAGGCAUGGUUUCUUUUUAUCCCUGACCAUCUGACAUUUGGUGAUAAUGUGUGCUAGGUUCCCAUUUGGAGAAGUUUAUUCAUGCUGAGGAACAAGACGAGUAAAUCUGGUGAGAGCCGUGUAGCCUGGACAGAACUUGCUGAUUUUGCCAAUUUGCUCUAAGUGAGACCAGUUUUAAGAAGCAAGUGAACCACUACCUGCCUGAAAAAACUAAGAUAGUCUCUAAAUGGUAGAAGGUAAAGAGCAUUCCCCUGGAGGCUGCCAGUUUCUCUGGAAGAGAAUACUCCUUUUUUCAAAGUCUGGGAAUCGAAGCCUGGCUUCUAGGCAUUAUGUUCUCCGGGUAAAAUGUACACAUCGUGGCCGGGCAUGGGGGCUCACGCCCAUAAUCCUAGCACUUUGGGAGGCCAAGGCGAGUGGAACAUUUGAGGUCAGGAGUUUGAAACCAGCCUGGCCAACAUGAUACUCUGCUGAGCACUUAAAAACGUCAUGUUGCUCAGGCUGGUCUGGAGCUCCUGGAUACAAGAAAUCUUCCCGCUUGGUCUCCCACAGUGCUGGGAUUACAGGUGUGAGCCACCAUACCUGGCCUU